AGAGUGAACGCUGGCGGCAGGCCUAAUACAUGCAAGUCGAACGGCAGCACGGCAGAGCUUGCUCUGUGGGUGGCGAGUGGCGGACGGGUGAGGAAUACAUGGGAAUCUGCCCAGUCGUGGGGGAUAACGUAUGGAAACGUACGCUAAUACCGCAUGCGCCCGUUCGGGGGAAAGCCGGGGACCUUCGGGCCUGGCGCGAUUGGAUGACGCCCAUGUCGGAUUAGCUAGUUGGCGGGG
rnacentral:rRNA from 1 species